rnacentral:lncRNA from 1 species
ACUCUGCCCCUAUUUACUCAACUGGGCAGGCAACUCGGGGUGUUCUCAGUUGAGAACACCUAAAAUAGAGUCCUUUGGGCCCCAAUUUCCACUUAACUUGGCCAAACUCCAAACCUUGGAUUUUCUAGGGUUCAUACAAUCACUUUUAGGGUUCGACCUUUUCAGGUCAGAUUCGAACCAAAACCUUGUUGGUUUAGGUACG